rfam:Haemonchus contortus, ISE/inbred ISE, WGS project CAVP01000000 data, contig: Hcontortus_50255
GGCCUAAAUAUGAAGUAGAGUAAAUUAGUAGGAUCACCUGAUUAUACUAAUCUACUCUACUUCAAGUUUGGGUAC